UGUAGGGGCAACCCACCCCUACAUCUGGUGCCCAACGUGGAGGCUUUUCUCUAGGGUGAAGGUACGCUCGAGCGUGGUCAUUGAGGACAAGUCGACAAGAGAUCCCGAGGACGUCUACAGUCAGCCUUACGUCUGCAGGUGUACCCAACAGCUCCGAAGAGACAGCGACCAUCGAGAACGGGCCAUGAUGACGAUGGCGGUUUUGUUGAAAAGAAAAGGGGGAAAUGUGGGGAAAAGCAAGAGAGAUCAGAUUGUUACUGUGUCUGUGUAGAAAGAAGUAGACAUAGGCGACUCCAUUUUGUUAUGUACUAAGAAAAAUUCUUCUGCCUUGAGAUUCUGUUAAUCUAUAACCUUACCCCCAACCCCAUGCUCUCUGAAACAUGUGCUGUGUCAACUCAGAGUUAAAUGGAUUAAGGGCGGUGCAAGAUGUGCUUUGUUAAACAGAUGCUUGAAGGCAGCAUGCUCCUUAAGAGUCAUCACCACUCCCUAAUCUCAAGUACCCAGGGACACAAAAACUGCGGAAGGCCGCAGGGACCUCUGCCUAGGAAAGCCAGGUAUUGUCCAAGGUUUCUCCCCAUGUGAUAGUCUGAAAUAUGGCCUCGUGGGAAGGGAAAGACCUGACCGUCCCCCAGCCUGACACCUGUAAAGGGUCUGUGCUGAGGAGGAUUAGUAAAAGAGGAAGGAAUGCCUCUUGCAGUUGAGACAAGAGGAAGGCAUCUGUCUCCUGCCUGUCCCUGGGCAAUGGAAUGUCUCGGUAUAAAACCCGAUUGUAUGCUCCAUCUACUGAGAUAGGGAAAAACUGCCUUAGGGCUGGAGGUGGGACCUGCGGGCAGCAAUACUGCUUUGUAAAGCAUUGAGAUGUUUAUGUGUAUGCAUAUCUAAAAGCACAGCACUUAAUCCUUUAUAUUGUCUAUGAUGCAAAGACCUUUGUUCACGUGUUUGUCUGCUGACCCUCUCCCCACAAUUGUCUUGUGACCCUGACACAUCCGCCUCUUCGAGAAACACCCACAGAUGAUCAAUAAAUACUAAGGGAACUC
rnacentral:lncRNA from 1 species